rnacentral:rRNA from 1 species
AGGGCACCACCAGGAGUGGAGCCUGCGGCUUAAUUUGACUCAACACGGGAAAACUCACCCGGCCCGGACACUGGAAGGAUUGACAGAUUGAGAGCUCUUUCUUGAUUCAGUGGGUGGUGGUGCAUGGCCGUUCUUAGUUGGUGGAGUGAUUUGUCUGGUUAAUUUCGAUAACGAACGAGACUCUAGCCUAUUAAAUAGAUCGUUGGCUUACAAACGCCGGCGAGACUUCUUAGAGGGACAGGCGGCGAUUCAGCCGCACGAAACAUAGCAAUAACAGGUCUGUGAUGCCCUUAGAUGUCCGGGGCCGCACGCGCGCUACACUGAAGUGAUCAGCGUGCAUUUUGAAACCUACUCUGUCAAGAGUGGGGAACCCAAUGAACCUUCUUCGUGAUUGGGAUAGGGGAUUGUAAUUAUUCCCCUUGAACGAGGAAUUCCCAGUAAGCGCGAAUCAUAAGUUUGCGCUGAUUACGUCCCUGCCCUUUGUACACACCGCCCGUCGCUACUACCGAUUGAAUGUUU